UGGGGAAUUUUGGACAAUGGGGGCAACCCUGAUCCAGCAAUGCCGCGUGUGUGAAGAAGGCCUUCGGGUUGUAAAGCACUUUUGUCCGGAAAGAAAACGCCGUGGUUAAUACCCGUGGCGGAUGACGGUACCGGAAGAAUAAGCACCGGCUAACUACGUGCCAGCAGCCGCGGUAAUACGUAGGGUGCAAGCGUUAAUCGGAAUUACUGGGCGUAAAGCGUGCGCAGGCGGUCCGCUAAGACAGAUGUGAAAUCCCCGGGCUUAACCUGGGAACUGCAUUUGUGACUGGCGGGCUAGAGUAUGGCAGAGGGGGGUAGAAUUCCACGUGUAGCAGUGAAAUGCGUAGAGAUGUGGAGGAAUACCGAUGGCGAAGGCAGCCCCCUGGGCCAAUACUGACGCUCAUGCACGAAAGCGUGGGGGAGCAAAACAGGAUUCAGAUACCCUGGUAGUCCACGCCCUAAACGAUGUCAACUAGUUGUCGGUCUUCAUUGACUUGGUAACGUAGCUAACGUGUGAAGUUGACCGCCUGGGGAGUACGGUCGCAAGAUUAAAAAC
rnacentral:rRNA from 1 species